rnacentral:lncRNA from 1 species
UCAAAAGGAUCUGUUGGGGGACAAAACACCACGCAACCAUUUUCACGACCCAAGGCCCUUGGUCUGACGGUUGCCCAACCUCAUCUUCUGGCGAGGGGUGCUGCUCAUUGGCUCAGAAUAAGUGAUUGACAAGUCGAUAGCUCAAUGAAUGAUGAGUCUUGGAAGCACUGGGCCGUUACCAGCUAGUUCUCUUAUCGCCAGAUGCUGGAGUAACUGUCUCCCCACCCCCAAUAUCUGAAUAGAGUUGGAUCCACAGUUGCUGCUUAUCCCAGUCAAAGGCACCUGGCACCUGGUAUCAGUCUGAUCUGGGUUGGAGUCCUGGCUGCUGCUACAGCAUAAUGGGAAAAGUCAUUUCCUCCUCUGAGCAUGCUUCUUCAUUUGAAAAAUGGAGUCAACCCUUUAGAUACUGAGAGAGUUCGAUUCUAGGAGCUAUGGUUUAGGUAUUCAAUGAUGGAGCCAUCAGGUUGUUUGGUUCACUUCACUCCAUGGCCUAAGUUGCUGCUAAGAUCGGUGGAACACUGAUGGUGAGAGACCACAACCU